GGGGGGAACCUGAUGGGAGAGGUACCGCUUCAACGGGAAUAGAAGUUUCCUCAUUGGCCGUCUUUUUAGGCUUAUACCUUUGUUUACCUCAUCCUUGGACUGUCGGAGACGGUACAUUUACUUUAACUAUAUCGUCAGCACAGAGACCACGUUUGCUGUUAGCUAGCUGCUUCCCCCCCCCCCAGCUAAUCUGAAAAAGACGGGCGGCGUGGUGUCGACUUUUCUCACUUUCCGACACACUGCCGCUUAUUAUUUUUAAUAGUUGAUCAGAUCGGCCGUGGUUCAUUAAACGAACAGGGUUUUUCCACCGCCGAGUCCCUUUUUGUGUGCGUUUCCCACCGGGUUGUCCAUCGGUCCGCGCCGGCGUGGUCAGCGGGGUGAAGGAGUUCAGAGGAAGGUCGUCGGGGAAGCGAUCCCCCGGCAGCACGUUUCCCUGCACGUACUCCAACACCACCUCGGUGAUGUGGACACAUCGGCGGGUUCGCAUCUUGGAAAGGUGAGCUCCAGCGAGAAAAAACAGGACGGGACACUACAGCAAAUACGUGAGAUACACGAGAGACCUGUGGACUUAAAAAAAACAACAACAACUUAACAACAGUCAACGCUGGUUUCUAAUUUGGUGUUAUUACUAACUUACGACCCAAAACACUGGGCUUCGUUGAAGUGAGAUCGUGCUCCUUACUACAACUCACCGCUUUUGGACUUGGCGUUUUUACUGUUCGUUUGGAGAAAGUAGUUGACUGGAGCAGGGCAUACUUGCCAUGGAGUGAACCCGUGUCGAACGGCUCGCCGUCGGGUAUUCCUCGCAGAUCUCCUCGGUGAACUGGACCUGUUUUCCUGGAUCCUCCGGUACGCUGUGAUAAACAGAUGAAAGACAACUACAUUGUGCGCUUAUGGAACAUGAAGCUUUUUAUCCGCACUUGUUUCGCCAGAACCCAAGACCACGUUAUUUAAGUGGUCGGACUUUUGUAAGGGUCUCAUCAAACUCCCAUCGUUUUAAAUCAUAAUACAACCACGUUGGACCCCGGCCCCUUUAGGGGGGGGCAACACCAUCUUUUUUUGCCAGUGUAUUAAAACACAUUUGGUUUUUUGUACGUUUUGUUAUUAUAACAUACCUAUUAUAAAAGGACGUUUUUUCUUUAGUCGUCGAUUUUUUAUGAACUUAUGCAAGAGGAAAUCACCUGGAAAGGCAACAUGGGAUGCUGGACGUUUAAACCGCAAACACCAAGUGUGUUUAUUGUAGUGUGCAUCUGCAUUGCAUGCCAGGCUGGACUAUUGAAUGGCGAAAGUAAGUAUACUCUUUUCGUUCUUGCAAGUUUAAAUUGCUGCAUAUGAUUAAACUGCAUUAUCAACAGGAGAAAUAACGAAUGCACACAUUGGUAGAACGAUAAGUAGUGCAAAUACGAAAAGGGCUAAACGAAGCGUCCUCAUUUGCAUUUCAUUGAGGUAAAACGAAUACAUUAUGGUGAAUAGAUAUUUAUUAUCAGCGCAGAAACAAUACUCGUCCCCAGAGAGGAAGUUAGUGUUUGACACUGCAGGUAUAUUCCCCCUGUUGUAUGCUUUUGAGGUCUUAUUCCUGUAAUUAACAACAAGCCACUACUUGUUGACACACAGCCUUUCAUUUGUAUUCCCUGGUAAAGUUAUUUAAGAAUACCUUAGCCCCGCCCCUCUCCUUAAAGAUAUAUUAUUGAGGCCUGUCGUGGAUGCAUCAGCCCCAGGGCCAGAUUAGUCGUCGUGACUGGACGAGAGGGGUCUGUUGCAGCGGAUCUAAACUGGGAGUUGCAGGAUUCGCCUUGCGCCCGUCAGCACCGCUAGGCCUCUCACGGCGACAACAAGGCGCAACAACACACGCGCACGUUGCUCUCGCCAGAAACGUAAACAAAUGUAGCGCACACACACCCUCGUCUUCGGAAGUUCUCGAAAUCCCCGUUAUAAGGGGCGGAUAAGCCCCCCCGUGAUACACUUUAACACGCGUCUGAAACGAGGGCUAUCAUAACGUCCUCUGCCAGGGAUUACUAUCACGGUGCGAAGUGUAUCAAUGAACGCGAUUUCCAAUUAAUAUACUGCACUGACAGCGUAGUAAAUAAUCGGCAUCCAUUGCCCUGUUACGUGUAUUUCUGUGUUUAUGUUAGCGAUGGAAUUGUUUGAGUGGGAAAACGAUUAUUUAAGCGGUGUUUAAACGAACACCAUUCUACAGCAACGUUAAUUUAUAUAAUUUCUUCAUUUUAUUUAUUUUCACUAUCGGACUGGAUGUAUAGCGGUGGUCAUGCAGAAGAACCUAUUAGACCCGAAAACAGCUUGCUCCUUAAGACUGUUCCAUAAAUAACAUCCCAUUAAGCACUUUUCAAUACAUGUCCACAUCGACGUUGAUAGUAACCAUUUUAAAUGAUGAACACAAUUGAUGAAUUGAUUAUAUAUGCAGUAACACUGCCUGACUUUUAAUUGCCAUUUGCGUAAUUACAAGCUGCUUUUGCCAUGUUAUGGCUAUUUACUUCAGGGUCGAUCAGGAGGCAGGGGCUUGAGAAAGAGGGUCUCUGAAUGCAGGUCUACUGGUAUCUCUUUGAGGGAAUGGAGCAUAUGUCAAUACUCAAUUCCUUGGAAGUAACUUUACUUAACACACUAGGGCUGCUUAUGCCUAAGGGUGGGGAAAAGACAAACAACCACCAAAAAUACGUCAACAAUUUCCUUCUGAAUCCACACGUCAAACACUUUAUCGUAAACCCCCAUUGACCGUGAUUUUCUGACAGCAGGCUGAAUAAUGUAACAUUGCCUUCUUUUAACGGGUGGUGGACUUGGUUGGUUCUGAUGGAGGAAAUAUUUGUGUGAAGGUUUUAAUAUCGGUAAUCAGCUCUCAGAGGAAAGCACUGAGCUGUCUUCUUUCCUUGGAUAACUAGCGAAAAACAAGUUGUGCAACUGAGAGCCAUGCCCCCUUCUUGUUCCUCUCUCAGGCUCAUGAAAUGCUCUUUUUGAAAGGCGAGGGUGUGUGUGUGUUUGUGUGCGAUUCAGUGUGUCGUUGUGCAUAUGUGUAUGUCGCCUCCUGUGUAUGUACAGCUUUUAAACUGGCACUUUCAGACCUAUGGUACGUAGGGUUGGAAGGGAAACAGAAGAUCAAUAUUGGUAUGGCUCUUGUGCUCGAUAGUAGAACACAACCAACAAGCGAUUAAAAACAUAAGCAAAAAGAAAACUUGAGACGGUUGUAUGUGUGAUGCGUGUCUUUUGGUGUCGGUGUAUGACAGCCUCUUCGUUGGCUAUUUGGAAUCCUUAGGCACCCUUCACUGAAGCGAACAGUGGCAUUUUCCCACAAUACUUUGCAUGGAUUGGAAUGUGUUUGAAGUGGCCCACCCUGUAGGAGAGAGAGAGGGAGAGGGUAAGGGAGAGAGACCACGGUGUAUACAUUCUCAUUAACUCAGUGCUUGGCUUCUUACUAGCACCCUUCCGAUCCAUGAGCGUGUUUUCAAUGUUUUCAGUAAACCCAGGUGUCUGUUUUCUUGAGUGCUGUUGUAGAAGGGGCCAAGCUUUUGAACGGCCUUGCCUGUGAAUGGACAGCUCUGGAGCUGCUUAAUGCUGUCCAAACUUCAGCCUCUGGUUCUCCUGUCUCUUGUUUUCCCGCACCCAUGUAAUGGAUUCCUGACAGUAGUUGAUUAUUUUUAUGCUUUUAACUCUGCACUUGUUGUUUUAAGAUGUACCGCCAAAUUAUUUAGUUUAGAGGAAUCCAUGCUAGGCCAGUGUCUUGUCGGUGAAACGGCAGCUACAGUACUGUAUAGAUUUCUACUGGGUUCUUGGUCAGGUCAGAAACCACUCCCCACCCGUUGGGUGUCAUGUGUUUGUGGUGUUGUCCAGAAGAGCUAUCUCGACUACUGUUAGUGAAAAGGUUAGGUCGGAGGGGUUCCUUUAUCUCUAAAAGUAGCCUCCCCCUUUCAACUUCUUACUGCUUGCCAAUGCAUUUUUUUUAUCUUGUUUGUUCACUUGUGUGUGUGUGUGUGUGUGUGUGUGUGUGGUGUGUGUGGUGUGUGUGGUGUGUGUGGUGUGUGUGUGGUGUGUGUGUGUGUGUGUGUGUGUGUGUCAGUGUUUCCUAAAGCACCUCGACAGUGUUACCAAUGUCAGAAGAAAAACACCACCUGACCUUUGACUCCCUCAAUGAAUUGCCUUUUGAUGUGUUGUCGAAGUGAGAACAGAACAGUCUUGGAGCAUAUUUACCUGAGUCCAGUGUUGGCUGAUUCAGCAACGUAGCAUAGCAUGUUUAUACUUGAUUAUACUGUGUCGUUUUGAUACUGUGCUUUUCUUUUCUUCAUAUGCUAAUAGUUGCACAGAAAUAUUAAAUUGUAUAUUCCAGAAAGGGCUUUGUUAGAUCUUGAUAACUUUCACAUAGCUAAGGAUUAAUUAAACACACCUAUAAGCCGAAUAGAAAAACAAACAAAACAGAGAAAAACUUUUUUACCAGCAAAUAAUGGUUAUAGUCUACACACUCAAUUGAACCAAACUUGCUUUAGGGACAUAUAUACAACCAUUCUGGAUACCUUGUUUUGAGGAUUAAGGCUCAAAAAGCACCCUUUUCUUUCUCAAUAUAGCCAUGUCGUGCCGUCUAAAUACACACUAUGUAUGUACACCAGCGGUACCGCUUUUUCAAGAAGAAAAUUGUGUCAUUUGUUUGUAGCACUUACUUCUAUUUUACCUGAAUAAAAGUCCCACAGAAAUCUCGCACUGACAGCCAGAAGCCUAGCGAACCCAGUGUCAUAUGAUUAACAUGGACUAUCACAGGAGCAAGUAAAGGAGGCAGGCAGACCAACCGGCCGAGGGAUGGCAUCACAAUGCUAAACUCAAGAUGCACCUUUUCCUUCUGUUUGGACAUUGUGUGCGUUAAUGUUAUUGUUUUGUGUGAUACUGUCAUGCUUGGUCUUUUGAAUGUGAUUGUGUGUGUUUUUUAUUCCCAGAACCGAUCACUAUACUAGAGUGAACAGUAAACACGAUUGCAAUUCUGAUAGAAUCCUACACAGUAUUUAAUAUAAACCUCCUGCCUACUACAGUUGUGUGUUUCCUGACACACACACAUACACACAUGUACACAUACACACACACAUGCACGCACGUACACACACAUACACACACAUUUCAAGUAAACACACACCAAGUGCCAUUACGGCACACUGCAACCAUCUUAUUCGAUGGGCCGUGUUGCUGUUUGGACCUGCUCUAUUUUAACUGUUGGCGACUUGACACUGUAAUAUUCAGUUUGAGCCGUGGCUGUAAUGCAGGGAUUAGCAUGGGGUGCUGUCGGAACCCCCCCUCCACCCCCAGAUGACUGCAGCAGACUGAUUUGGUGAUGAAGCCGCUGUAGACGCUCGCCGACUACUAGUGUAUUAUUGAUGACACAAUAUCUGCUUACAUUUCUGAAGGAGGUGAUAUAAGACGUAGCUCUUUCUGACCCCCCCUCUCCCCGCCAAAGCACAUUUUAGGUCAUGCUUUUUGCUUGAGUGAACUCGGGUGAUGUAGACAAUUCGUGACACCAUACCACAAAAGACAAUCAACGAUAACAUUGAAAUAUUGAUAUUGUGGGAGACGCCUUGUAAGGUAAUAUUUUGUGCGGCUGGUAAUGUUGAGUUUUGGGUUUAUCUGUUGGGACAGACGUGUAGAUCUUAUGUCUCUUCACAUUGUCCCACCUGGGUUCAUAUAUACAUACAUAUGCGUGUGUUCGUGACUGUGUGUGUGUGUGUGUGUGUCCAUGUGACUGACCAUGAUGCUCUUAAUGUACUCAGAGGUCUGUUAUAUGAAUAUGGUGGGGUUUAGAAAGUCGUUAGUAAAUAACUACCAGACGUGAAACAUGCGCACCACACAUAAUUGCAUACGUCAAUGAUACAUUUGUUGACUACUUAUAAUAAUCAUGAACAUUAUUAUAACUAUGAUGGCCAGCAAUCACCCAAUGCUAUGAUAUCGCACCAGAGCAACAAUCAGCAGUGCCUUUGAAUAGCGUUAUGGGAUGCUUCAUGGGAAACAGAUGGAUUAGAAGAGAAUUAUCAUGGGUAUUGAUCUGAUAAUGAAUUCAAUCAAUUAAAUUGGGUAAAUUUAGUGAAAUAAAAUAAAUAUGUUAUUUGUUUUAGGCAAUUAUUGUAGCCAUCUAGUACCCAGAAUCGUACUUGCAGGCAAUACUGGGCCGUUUGUUGACCUUUUGGUUCUUUGAAGCACACUGGCAGAUGUAACAUUUCAACCAAUCAUAACAUGCUCCUUUUUAUAUACAUCCUGCAACGGGCUAACGCACAGCCGGCUUGUGUUUUAUCUUAUAUCGGCACAGUCCCAGCAAAUCCUGAAGGACGGAGCUGCAGACAGACUAGGAUUUAGAAAAAGGGAAAGUGUGAACAUGAAAAUGAGUGCAAAGCUGGAAUCCAAAGUUCAUGGGAUGUUUUAUUGGACUCACGCAAGAGCUGAUCUGAGUGAGUGUGACACACCUUUUGGAGUGUUUGUACCGUGGAUUACCGGAAGGCACAUGUUGUCAACAUGCAGGACUUGACGAUUGUGUGUGUGAGGGAUGAUGCAAGCUUGAGAUACCAGCAUUUAAAAGGCAAAUGCAGCCUAAUUUAGUCACUUUUAAAGCAACGCCAGGAAUGUUUACAAGCCAAACUUUUUGCUGCCCUCCAAACUGCAAUAAGUGCCAAAGCUGUCGUAAACAUACUUGACUUUUACAUGACAGAUUGUAAAGUCAUUAUUGAGGUACCACUGUCCCGUUGCUUGCCUCUCAAUUAUGGGCAAAUGGUAAUUUCACUCAGGUUGUCAAUGAGCAGAGGGGGCAUGUGUUUUAUGGAGGACCAAACCCAAGAACAUUUAAAAUAAGUAGGACUAAAUGGUAACUCAAUUAUAUCCUUUGUCCUCAUCCUGCUUCCUCUGUACUUCUUCCCCCCCCCGUUAUUGUUU
ensembl:lncRNA